GACGAACGCUGGCGGCGUGCUUAACACAUGCAAGUCGAACGGAAAGGCCCUGCUUUUGUGGGGUGCUCGAGUGGCGAACGGGUGAGUAACACGUGAGUAACCUGCCCUUGACUUUGGGAUAACUUCAGGAAACUGGGGCUAAUACCGGAUAGGAGCUCCUGCUGCAUGGUGGGGGUUGGAAAGUUUCGGCGGUUGGGGAUGGACUCGCGGCUUAUCAGCUUGUUGGUGGGGUAGUGGCUUACCAAGGCUUUGACGGGUAGCCGGCCUGGGUGGGUGACCGGCCACAUUGGGACUGGGAUACGGCCCAGACUCCUACGGGAGGCAGCAGUGGGGAAUAUUGCACAAUGGGCGGAAGCCUGAUGCAGCAACGCCGCGUGCGGGAUGACGGCCUUCGGGUUGUAAACCGCUUGCGCCUGUGACGAAGCGUGAGUGACGGUAAUGGGUAAAGAAGCACCGGCUAACUACGUG
rnacentral:rRNA from 1 species